rnacentral:rRNA from 1 species
CAGCCGCCGCGGGAAUACGAAGGGUGCAAGCGUUACUCGGAAUUACUGGGCGUAAAGCGUGUGUAGGUGGUUGUUUAAGUCUGUCGUGAAAGCCCUGGGCUCAACCUGGGAAUUGCGAUGGAUACUGGGCGACUAGAGUGCGGUAGAGGAUAGUGGAAUUUCCGGUGUAGCAGUGAAAUGCGUAGAGAUCGGAAGGAACAUCUGUGGCGAAGGCAGCCCCCUGGGCCAAUACUGACGCUCAUGCACGAAAGCGUGGGGAGCAAACAGGAUUAGAUACCCCGGUAGUCCCUGUCUCUUAUAC